GUGUUCGCGGCGCCUCAGUUAGCGGGUUGUGUUCAGCGAGUGGGGUUCGAAACUUCUAAUCUGCACAAUUCUGGGUUCUUCACUUCUAAUUUAUCCAGCUGGGUUGCUGUUUAGAUUUUCAGCGAAAGCUACGUGAUGUAUACAUUUCUUACGAUAUCUCUUAUCGAAUUACUCAAGUUUCCACGGCGGUUCAGUAACUUACUUGUAGGACGAUAUCUGCAAUUGAUAGGCCGACUAGAAAGAUUGCCAGCUAUGUAUCGGUUAGUCUUACCGUCUGCGCAAGUUGCUUCGCCAUGCUUCGCUAGCAUUAAAGGACUAUCGCAUUUUAGGAUCGCCAGAGCAGCGUACAUUUGCAAAACGUUAUCACGAGCAAAAAUGUUAUGUUAGCUACAUGCAAAGCAGCAGUGUCCGUUGUAAAAUCUGACAGGGAGUGACGUACUGAAAUUAGGACUGAACUUUCACAAAUCCAGGUUCAGCUGUUCAAAAGCCACCAGCAAUAUGAAAUGCAGAGGGUGUAGCAGGUCCAUCCCUCAUUACAGCAUGUGCCCUACAGUGGAGCCAGAUGAAUCAUGAGUGAUAUUUUAUAACAAAAAGUUACAUUAACGCCUGGAUUUACAAUAUUCUAGUUUUACGCCACAGUUCCUCGUAAGUUACAGCAAUCCGGUUUGCAGUUCUGCUUGCAGGCUCGACUCCCACGAUUCAGCCAACAGCUAAACGGGCCAAGGUGGUACCCGGUCUGUCUCUCACUGCUUCGUACGUGCUGAAACACAGCCCGAGGAAUAGCUCGACUUCCACAACUCAACCAAUACUAAAACAGGCUGUGGUGGUACCACAUCCAUCCAUCAGUACAGAGUGUGUGUUGCUACACAGCUCAACAAAUGGUGAUUUCUAUGAAUUCAGGCAUUAGUUCAUCUCUUUGCUAUAAAUAACUUACAAGGAACUAUGGCAUAUAGCUGGAAUAACAUUUUAUAAUAAUCUGGUUAUAAAUGCUGAUUGCAGGUGCUGUCCUCCCACAUUUAAACCAGUGACAGGGCACAAUAAGAUGGUAUCAGUGCCAUCCAUCUCUGCAGCACACAUGCUGCAACAUGGCUAUGGAAUGGUAUUAUAAAUUCGGGCAGUAUUUGUGGAUACUUUCUGAUCUGAAAUUUUGCUUGCCAACUACAACCUUCCUUAUGAACUUUCAUUUCACAUUUAUACCAAAGACGAGUGUCCUUUCGUUUAAUUGAAAUUUUUUUACCACUUGUCAGACUGGAUUUUCUUCACAAAAUACAAAUAUAGCUACACCUAUAUAACAGUAGGAUGCAUUCUUUCUGUAUAGAUGUUGCUAUUAAUACCAGUAUUUAGUCUAUGAUAUUAUGGCCAAUAUUUCACAUUGCAGGCAUAAGCAAUUGUCUUGGUUACAAAUUAAACUGUAUCAGGAUCACAUACAUCCUCAUUGUGAAUUGUGUUGUCUGCACUUUCCAGGUUAAGUCUACAUUGUAUGACUUUACAAAAAUUGUCACCUGCUGUGUCCCAUAGAAGUACAGUAGUUAAUAGUAAUAAUCUUUAAGCACAUACUACAUAAAUCAGUUAUAUUCAGCAACAUGAUCAAGCAUAUUAUUCAAGAAUGUAUGAUUCAAAAUUAAGCACAAUUUGUUAGAACUACUCAAACUAUUUCUCUCUCAAUGAAAACAAUGUAUUCUACACUAUGCUAAUCUUUAUUUUACCUCUUAGUGCUGCUGUGGAUUGGAAAUAAUACCUGGCCAAAUAGAUAUGGUGUGAUUUGGAUGCAUUGUCUGAGUGGUAAUGUUGGUAUACUUAAAAUCUUUAUAGAAGUAGUCAGGGCAUGUCAAAUUGGCAACAGAUAAAAUAUUUGCACACCGUUAUUUCUAGAUACUAUUUUUGUACUACAGUAUGCUAAGAGGACAGAUUUGCUAUAUUGAUCUGUUUCACCUUGUUCAACACUAUGCUGCCUACUAUGUUGCCUUUUGACAUUGCAUACUCUAUAGCCAGUUAAACAAAAGGACACUUUUCAUUUUGGGAGCUGCUUUUCAACAAUGAAAUUAUUUCAGAGAUAGUACUCAGAAUCGCAGAAUUUUGCUUUACUUAUCUGGCAAUGAUGUGGUCUUUUUUUUUCAGUCUCAAAAGUAACUGACAAUACGUAAAUCAAGCUAAUUGUUGGUUUUUGUUAUUUUUUGGGGGGCUUUUGGAUAAGAGUGUGAAGAACUGGAUGGGUUAUAUGCUAUAAACGGCACUGGUAGACUGAAUUUUAGAGCAACUAUACCCUUUAAAUGUCUAUUAUGUUGCCUUCGUUUUGAUGUUUCAGCAACCUGUGAUACCAGGAGACUCACAGAUAAACUGUAUCAUUCCUCUUGGUUAUUCAAAAGACAGGAAAGCAUCGCGAGUGUGUGCCAGAUGUCAAGCACCAUUGUGUUUGAAAAGGAAGUUAAUUAUCUAAAACUGUUUGACUGCACACAGAACAAUGGAACUUCCAGUUUCAGAAACUUGAUUCAUCCAAACGUCCAAAACCAAGAUUUUUUUGCAAUUCAUGAUACCGUGAAAUAUUUUUAUAAUUGCAGUACAUUCAGCUAAAAGUGUUACAGUAAAAUCUUCUUGUAAGUUAUGUCUGCAGAAACUUAUAUACUGAAUUUAAUCAUUUCUUUUGGUGUAUAGUUUUGAUGUAAAGCCUAUUUUCUGUUUAAAUAUGAAGUUUCAAUUGUGUAUCGUAAUAUUUGUAGCUGAUGUGUAGGAUUUUUGAAAACUCUUUUUUCACAUUCUGUGUGUUUUGUAUGUCACUGUAUUACUUCAUGAAGUCUAUAAGAUAUGAUGACAAAUUAUUAGUAUCAUUUUAAGAUUAUAUUAAUGAAUCCUAAUUAAAAAUUUAAUAUAUAAUUUCCAA